AUACGAGGGGUGCAAGCGUUAAUCGGAAUUACUGGGCGUAAAGCGUGCGUAGGCGGUUAUUUAAGUCAGAUGUGAAAGCCCAGGGCUCAACCUUGGAACUGCAUUUGAAACUGGGUAACUAGAGUUUGGUAGAGGGUGACGGAAUUCCAGGUGUAGCGGUGAAAUGCGUAGAUAUCUGGAGGAACAUCAGUGGCGAAGGCGGUUGCCUGGACCAAAACUGACGCUGAGGUGCGAAAGCGUGGGGAGCAAACAGGAUUAGAAACCCCAGUAGUCC
rnacentral:rRNA from 1 species